GUUUGCACUUAUCGGGGAAGGGUGAGAACCUUCGAUUAAGGUUCGACUCGAGCGAAAGCGAGAGAACGUUGCCAACGGCAACGGCC
rnacentral:sRNA from 2 species